CUUGAACGCUAGCGGGAUGCUUUACACAUGCAAGUCGAACGAGUGGCGGACGUGUGAGUAAUAUAUCGGAACUUGCCCAGUGGCGGGGGAUAACUACUCGGAAGAGUGGCUAAUACAGCAAACUAUUGGAGCGGCCGGUAUCGGAUUAGCUAAGUGGGGGGGUAAAGGCUCACCAAGGCAACGAUCCGUAGCUGGUUUGAUAGGACGACAAUCCACACUGGGACUGAGACACGGCCCAGACUCCUACGGGAGGCAGCAGUGGGGAAUUUUGGACAAUGGGGGAAACCCUGAUCCAGCCAUCCCGCGUGUAUGAGAAGGCCUUCGGGUUGUAAAGUACUUUUGGCAGAGAAGCGGUAUCUGCAGAAUAAGCACCGGCUAACUACGUGCCAGCGCCGCGGUAAUAC
rnacentral:rRNA from 1 species